CGAGCGGACCGACGGGAGCUUGCUCCCUUAGGUCAGCGGCGGACGGGUGAGUAACACGUGGGUAACCUGCCUGUAAGACUGGGAUAACUCCGGGAAACCGGGGCUAAUACCGGAUGCUUGAUUGAACCGCAUGGUUCAAUCAUAAAAGGUGGCUUUCAGCUACCACUUACAGAUGGACCCGCGGCGCAUUAGCUAGUUGGUGAGGUAACGGCUCACCAAGGCGACGAUGCGUAGCCGACCUGAGAGGGUGAUCGGCCACACUGGGACUGAGACACGGCCCAGACUCCUACGGGAGGCAGCAGUAGGGAAUCUUCCGCAAUGGACGAAAGUCUGACGGAGCAACGCCGCGUGAGUGAUGAAGGUUUUCGGAUCGUAAAACUCUGUUGUUAGGGAAGAACAAGUACCGUUCGAAUAGGGCGGCACCUUGACGGUACCUAACCAGAAAGCCACGGCUAACUACGUGCCAGCAGCCGCGGUAAUACGUAGGUGGCAAGCGUUGUCCGGAAUUAUUGGGCGUAAAGCGCGCGCAGGCGGUUUCUUAAGUCUGAUGUGAAAGCCCCCGGCUCAACCGGGGAGGGUCAUUGGAAACUGGGGAACUUGAGUGCAGAAGAGGAGAGUGGAAUUCCACGUGUAGCGGUGAAAUGCGUAGAGAUGUGGAGGAACACCAGUGGCGAAGGCGACUCUCUGGUCUGUAACUGACGCUGAGGC
rnacentral:rRNA from 1 species